rnacentral:rRNA from 1 species
ACAAGCGGUGGAGCAUGUGGUUUAAUUCGAUGAUACGCGAGGAACCUUACCUGGGCUCAAAUGUAUGUUGACGUAUUCUGAAAGGGAUACUUCUUCGGACAAUAUACAAGGUGCUGCAUGGUUGUCGUCAGCUCGUGCCGUGAGGUGUCGGGUUAAGUCCCAUAACGAGCGCAACCCCUAUCAUUAGUUGCCAUCAGGUCAAGCUGGGGACUCUAAUGAAACUGCCUACGCAAGUAGUGAGGAAGGUGGGGAUGACGUCAAAUCAGCACGGCCCUUACGUCCAGGGCUACACACGUGCUACAAUGGCCGGUACAAAGGGCAGCUACCUGGUGACAGGAUGCUAAUCUCAAAAGCCGGUCUCAGUUCGGAUCGGAGUCUGCAACCCGACUCCGCGAAGCUGGAAUCGCUAGUAAUCGCGCAUCAGCCAUGGCGCGGUGAAUACGUUCCCGGGCCUU